UACGAAGGGGGCUAGCGUUGUUCGGAAUUACUGGGCGUAAAGCGCGCGCAGGCGGCUCUUCAAGUCAGGGGUGAAAGCCCAGAGCUCAACUCUGGAACUGCCUUUGAGACUGAAGAGCUUGAGUACGGGAGAGGUGAGUGGAAUUCCCAGUGUAGAGGUGAAAUUCGUAGAUAUUCGGAAGAACACCAGUGGCGAAGGCGACUUACUGGACACAUAUUGACGCUGAGGUGCGAAAGCGUGGGGAGCAAACAGG
rnacentral:rRNA from 1 species